AUCCAGUUGAUGUGUCUCAAAUAGGACGAAACAUAUGUCAUACUGGAU
rfam:Schistosoma haematobium scaffold163_80, whole genome shotgun sequence.